UGGGGAAUUUUGGACAAUGGGCGAAAGCAUGAUCCAGCAAUGCCGCGUGUGUGAAGAAGGCCUUCGGGUUGUAAAGCACUUUUGUCCGGAAAGAAAUGGCUCUGGUUAAUACCUGGGGUCGAUGACGGUACCGGAAGAAUAAGGACCGGCUAACUACGUGCCAGCAGCCGCGGUAAUACGUAGGGUCCAAGCGUUAAUCGGAAUUACUGGGCGUAAAGCGUGCGCAGGCGGUUGUGCAAGACCGAUGUGAAAUCCCCGAGCUUAACUUGGGAAUUGCAUUGGUGACUGCACGGCUAGAGUGUGUCAGAGGGGGGUAGAAUUCCACGUGUAGCAGUGAAAUGCGCAGAGAUGUGGAGGAAUACCGAUGGCGAAGGCAGCCCCCUGGGAUAACACUGACGCUCAUGCACGAAAGCGUGGGGAGCAAACAGG
rnacentral:rRNA from 1 species